rnacentral:rRNA from 1 species
GUGAACGCUGGCGGUAGGCCUAACACAUUCAAGGCGAACGGCAGCACAGUAAGAGCUUGCUCUUACGGGUGGCGAGUGGCGGACGGGUGAGGAAUACAUCGGAAUCUACUUUUUCGUGGGGGAUAACGUAGGGAAACUUACGCUAAUACCGCAUACGACCUACGGGUGAAAGCAGGGGAUCUUCGGACCUUGCGCGAUUGAAUGAGCCGAUGUCGGAUUAGCUAGUUGGCGGGGUAAAGGCCCACCAAGGCGACGAUCCGUAGCUGGUCUGAGAGGAUGAUCAGCCACACUGGAACUGAGACACGGUCCAGACUCCUACGGGAGGCAGCAGUGGGGAAUAUUGGACAAUGGGCGCAAGCCUGAUCCAGCCAUACCGCGUGGGUGAAGAAGGCCUUCGGGUUGUAAAGCCCUUUUGUUGGGAAAGAAAAGCAGCAGGUUAAUACCCCGCUGUUCUGACGGUACCCAAAGAAUAAGCACCGGCUAACUUCGUG